AAGAAAUAGGGACUGUUUUCAGCUUUGCCAGCAGCACACUGCCCAAAUGGCUGAAAUGAAAUGGUGUUAUUCCACUGGAAAAAUAUUGACUAUAAAAUCCUGACCUUGGAAAGUGGACCUGAAGAGAGACUCACAUUUAUUUCCAGUGUGUUGGAUGACUGUGACUCUAACUAAAUGGAACAAUGUCUUCAUCCAUUUUUGGUACUCAGGUUCUCUUCCUGCUUCUCUGUUAUGUUUUGAAGCAACUGAGAGACCCUCAACAGAGGCCAAACAGAUGUAGCCACUCAUCUUAGAAUUUUGGCCUCCAAAACUGUUUCAAGUGGGUUGCCACCACAGAUAUGCAGCAUUCUGGGAACAAUGGAUGGGUCAAAGUGAAACCCAUCAGGAAGCACCAUUUCUCACCCAAAAUGGCCACAGGUUAGAAAGGAAAUUCAAUCAAGGCACGUCAGAAUUUUUCACUAGAUAUUUUCCAAUGGUUUCUGGAACGAUAGAAAUCCUCUCUCACCUUAAGAAAUAAGAACUCGAAACUGGGUGAGGCAGCUACCUUUCCUCUCUAGGGGAGAAAGCCAGUUGCAAACAAAAGAAACAAGGCUGACCAACAAAAAGAAGAUUCACAAACUUCCAUGUCACUGGCAUCCUCAAAACUUCACGGUGCUCUUUGUAACAAUGAAGUUACUCAGCCCUGGUGAAUUUUUCUCUAGGAAGUCUGGUGUGACCCUUCCAGGAUUGAUUUAGGCUCUACUUUCCAUAUUUCUACAGAACUCGUGUCUAUCUCUGUUGUAGCAUGGACCACUGUACCGUGAGUUACCAAUCGCUCUUCUGUCUUCACUACUGGUCCAUUAGAGCCAGAGAGCUGGCUUUGACUUUCAGUUCCUGCUACUUCUUGUGCUGAACAUUUCUUUGUCUCUGCGACAAAAACAUGUUAUUUUUGUCUCACAGCAGUCCAUAGGUAUGCCAUAAUAGUUAAAAUUUUAUUUUGAUGUGUCUUUAUGGUUGUUUUGAUUGCUCUGUUUAAGAUUUGGUGACUUCAGUCCAUCCACA
rnacentral:lncRNA from 1 species